ACCCGGGGCAGCGAGUCCCGGGCUAACGUGCUUCCGAAGCCGGCUACCCCGUGUAGUCUCGCCCGGGCCGACAGACUUCAUGGCGGCCCAGCCAGUGUCCCGGAUGCUGCGGCGGGUCCUGAGGUCCAGCGUCCGGAGCUGCAGCUCGGGCGCUCCGGUGACGCAGCCACAACCCGGGGAGCCCUCCCAACCUGCCGUGGAGCCCCUGUUGUCGCAGGUGCCGUCCGGACGGAGGCGGUUCCUGAGGGAGCAUGCAGCCCCCUUCUCUGCCUUCCUCACCGACAGCUUCGGCCGGCGCCACAGCUACCUGCGGAUCUCCCUCACUGAGAAGUGCAACCUCAGAUGUCAAUACUGCAUGCCCGAGGACGGUGUCCCUCUGACCCCCAAGGCAGACCUGCUGACCACAGAGGAGAUCCUAACCCUGGCCCGCCUCUUUGUGAAAGAAGGCGUAGACAAGAUCCGACUCACGGGCGGGGAGCCGCUCAUUCGGCCGGACGUGGUGGACAUCGUGGCACAGCUCCACCAGCUGGAAGGGCUGAGGACCAUUGGCAUCACCACCAACGGCAUCAGCCUAGCCCGGCUGCUGCCUCAGCUUCAGAAAGCUGGUCUCAGUGCCAUCAACAUCAGCCUGGACACGCUGGUACCAGCCAAGUUUGAGUUCAUCGUCCGCAGGAAAGGCUUCCGCAAGGUCAUGGAGGGCAUCCACAAGGCCAUUGAGCUGGGCUACAGUCCUGUGAAGGUGAACUGUGUGGUGAUGCGAGGCCUGAAUGAGGACGAACUCCCGGACUUCGUGGCCUUGACCGAGGGCCUUCCCCUGGACGUGCGCUUCAUAGAGUACAUGCCCUUUGACGGCAACAAGUGGAACUUCAGGAAGAUGGUCAGCUACAAGGAGAUGCUGGACACCCUCAGGCAGCAGUGGCCGGAGCUGGAGAAGCUGCCGGAGGAGGAAUCCAGCACAGCCAAGGCCUUUAAAAUCCCUGGCUUCCGAGGCCGAGUCAGCUUCAUCACGUCCAUGUCUGAGCAUUUCUGUGGGACCUGCAACCGCUUGCGAAUCACAGCUGACGGGAACCUCAAGGUCUGCCUCUUUGGGAACUCAGAGGUUUCUCUACGGGAUCACCUGCGGGCGGGGGCCUCUGAGGAGGAGCUGCUGAGCGUCAUCGGGGCUGCCGUGGGCAGGAAGAAGCGGCAGCAUGCAGGCAUGUUCAGUAUUUCCCAGAUGAAGAACCGGCCCAUGAUCCUCAUCGAGUUAUUUUCGAUGUGCCAAGAUUCCCCACCAGCCAUUCCAAGCAUCUCCUUCAGGGACUCCCUCCAUGUUCAGGGUCUGAGACACAGACAAGGUCAAGAGAUGGGAUGCGAUUUCAGCCGAGGGAAAGAUGUCAAGUUCCUUUCACCCCAUCACCAGUUACCUUCAACCGCUACUGUGGUCCCACCCCCAGAAAAGAUAGGCAGCUGAAGAGUGGGCCCAGCCCACCAGUCUGUCCACUGGCAAUAACCCUGAGCUGGAGGAGGAGGUCAGAAGAAAAUUUGUGUAGAUACCAGCCAUCAUCCUGCCCCACAAGGACAGCUCCUGGUGGACAGAAUGAAGAGGUGGCAUGUAACUGCAGAGGGCAGCUCUUGCCCUUGGAGCCCUCGGAACCGGUGCCCCAGGGCCAGCCUCAGCCAGACGAACGCAGUUGGAAGCGUCUCCUGCAGGCUGGACGGAGCAGGAGGUCACCGUGCCUACUGCUUGGCGGCAGAUGUCAGAGGAGUACGGGGUCCGAGUAAUGUUCAGUGGUAACCCAGGCGCUCUGGGUGGAGCUGGCCAUUCAGGUGCUGCCCCCUGGAACCCCGAACCAACGUGUGAGGUCACUGUCUCGCUUCAAGACAAUGGUCAGGUUGUACAGGGUGGGGGUGGGGAAGGAGAGUUUCAGUCCAGGGUCCCUGUGCCCAGCAUACGAGGUGUGGUGAUGAAUGGGGUCUUCUUUCUUGAACCCCUUCCCUUAGCAGAUCCAUCAAGUACCUGAUAGUGAGCCCUAAUGGGAACCCAAAGGUGAGUUUUCCGGGAUUCUGGAUUAGUAUAGGAUGGAGAUGGCAGGAGGGAAGGGAGAGAGACUUAAGACAUGCAAGAGAGGGGCCAGAGGGCUCGUGAUGUAGGAAACGGGCACUGUCACCCUGUCCUGAUGACUUGGUCCCUGCAUCAUCCUCCCAGCAUCUUUUUUUUUUUUUUUUUUUUUCCUGGAACACAUCUAGCUAGCAUAUGUCACGCCUCUUCCUUUCAAUAGGAAACUUCGCCCCAGAUCAACGUUCCAUUACGCCUACUCUUGAGAGAUGGGAGCCUGGGUGCCCCCGCCCAUUACUCCCCACGGCACGUGAAAUCUGGACAAGGGCACCCUGAGCCUCCGCCGCCCACUGCACUCUCCCCUCCCUCAGCCUUGCUCAGGCCCCGGCCCCGGCAGCACCCUCACCAUGGCCUCCAUGCGCGCCCGCCGCUCCUCCUCCUCCUUCCUCCUCCGCAUGGCCUCCAGGUCCUGCCGGGCCUCCGAGAAGGCCUGCAGGAAGGUGUCAAAGAUGCCGAAGAAUUCAUCCGGCUGCAUCUUGCUGUCCUGCUCCCCAAAGUGCAUCAGGGCCUUGGAGAACUGUCGAAGAGAAGGGUCGGUGAAGAGUCACCCCCGAGCCUGGUGGGCAGUUGAGUUCCAGCCAGAGCAGAGUUCAUCCAGCUGGGCAACCCUGGGCAAGUUACUUAACGUCUCUGGAUCUCAGUGCACGUAUCUGUGGAAUGGGAUAAUAGCCUUUCAACAAGCCCAGAAGCUCCUGAGGAGGGAGAGCCAAGUGCUGGUCGGACCAGUGCCAGGACAAGAGUCAGGGAUGCUGGGACUCACCACAUCCUCCACCCUCCUUGCCAAUCGCAGGACACUGAGCCUUCCUUUGGAAGAGGGAACACCCUGAGUCUCAAAUUCUAAGGGUGGCAAAGAUUGUGAGAUCCUUCCAGAUCGGAAAUAUCAUGCUGCAUAUUGGAAGGUUUCCAACACACUGCCUCUGGCUUGGAUUUAUUUUUAUUACCAUCAGAUGCUUCUAUCAGCCUGUAUACGUUCAGGUCUGACGUCUCGCCUGUAGCAGAUGCCCCAGGAGCCCGCCACCCCACCCCCGCCAUCUCCUUGGACCAUCCGUCGUAGUGGAUAGCCCUGACUUCCAACCACUGAGCACUUUUCCUGCGGGCCAGAGCGUUACUGCCCGCCCCCAGCCAGUGAGUGACAGGAGAUGGUAGAUGAUGCCCAUCUUACCCCUUGUGGGGAUAAUGGAGUGAGUAUCCUACACUGUCUCCCACACCCUGCAGGCAGGAUUAAGCUCUGAUUGCCUGCAGUGGUAAGUGGCUUAAUAACAACCCCAUUGCCGGCAUUCUCCCCAUCCCCGUUGCAAUUCCCCACUCCCCACUUUGUUUCCUGAGAGCAUCUCUGAGAUGAGGAUUUGAGAGCAAAGACUGUCUUUUGUUGGGUUCUCCCAGAGCAAACCCUCAGAUGCUGUUCAUUCUGAGGCAGCUCAGGGUAGCCCCGAAGGAGGAAGUUACGAUGAGAGAGUGCGGGAUCACAGGGAGAAGGAAGCCUCAAGAGGACCCCUUACUUGACUUUGGCGGCUUCUGGAAGAUGCUGCAGCUCGGAGGGCAUGUUCAGGAUGUCAGGGAAAUGCUUCUCCAGGAUCAUGAUCAGAUAAUGUAGCAGAGAGAUGUUUCUGUGGGUGAAAGUCGGGUCAGGGGUACGGGGCCAAGGGAAUUGGGAACGAGGGUCCAGCGGAAACUAGGGUGAGGUGUUAGGGGAAAGUUGUGACAUAUUUUGGGAGGGUAACGGGGAGGAGGGGAGAGGCCAGGGUGGGGCGAGACGGGGGCUCCAGAAGCCGGCAGGUCCCCACCUGUCGAUGCUGGACUUGGUGUCGGCAAUCUUGUUGAGGCUGGCCACCCGGAACCCGUAGGCGCUCCCACGCUGCCCUUUGUUCAUGAAGUUGCCGAUGGCCAGGACGACCUCUAGCAUCUGCGCUAGACGCUUGCUGCGGAUCAGCUCCCGGGAAGCCAGCAGGAUGGCUGGGGGAGGAGGGACAGGUGAGAGCCCCACAUACACCAGGCCCUUGAACCCUAGGAUGAUGCCACCACAAAGUCCAGAAAAGGCGCCGUUAAGUGUCAGCUUCAGAGGGGCAGAGGCUAUGCCCACAGCCCAGCAGACGAUCUUCUCCACAUCUGCCCGCCUCCAGGGGAAGCAAACUCGCAAAAAGCCAAUUCGCCAAAUAACCCUUUCUCAAAAUGUGCCAACUCUUCCGAAGACUAUAUUGGAGAAUGUAUCUUUCCUUGCAUAUAGUUAAAGACUCUUAACAUAGAUAUAUGCAAGAAUAUAAUACUUUGGGCUUCCCUGGUGGCUCAGUGGUUAAGAAUCCGCCUGCCAAUACAGGGGACACGGGUUCAAGCCCUGGUCCGGGAAGAUCCCACAUGCUGCAGAGCAACUAAGCCCAUGCACCGCAAUGACUGAGCCUGCGCUCUAGAGCCCGCGAGCCACACCUACUGAGCCUGUGUGCCACAACUACUGGAGCCUAUGUGCCUAGAGCCCAUGUUCCGCAACAAGAGAAGCCACUGCAGUGAGAAGCCCUUGCUCGCCGCAACUAGAGAAAGCCCGCACACAGCAACGAAGACCCACGCAGCCAAAAAUAUAUAAAAUAAAUUUAUAAAAAGAAAAAAGAAUAUAAUACUUUUACUUUUCUAAACCUAGUGAUUAAAAUUUUUAAUUUCAGCAUUUUACAUACUAUGGGACUGUUUCUGCCUCUUUUGAAGUGCUGAAUUUUGUUGAUUUUUUUGGAAAGAAAAAAAUCCCUGUCAAAUUAUAACAUCAUCAAUUGCAAUAUUUUCAUAUUUUUGUUUUAUAAGAUAAUGGUGUGCUUUGCAGUUGAUGGUGUCUUAGAUUUGAUUAAAUAGGUUACUAGACAGCCUACUGAAUAUCAUUUAAAAGAAUUUUCCAACCUUUAGGCAUUUAAAAAUUUCCCUCACAAUUCCUUAAAUGAUACCUUUCUUGGAAAUACAAACUAAGACUAACAGUAACCAAAACUUCAGUAUUUCAUUCUGAUGUGGGUGCUCUGGCCCUUCCUCAGUUAUUCUGUAUUUAAUGGUGGAUGUGCAGAAUUAGGAUACAAUCCUACACUGAAAAUUUGGCUGCCACUUACUUAUAGAAUAUGAUUUUGGGUUAUUAAAUGUGGUGAGAAGAUCAAACCAUUGUAUUAUGAUCUUUGGCUUCUGCCAAAUUGAACAUUCCUUAAGAUGUUGCUAUGAAGAUUAAAUGUAAACCAUUUGACUAAAAGUUUGCAAAACUCUUCAAAAGCAGUUAAAGUAACUUAAAAAAAAGCUGUACAAAAAUGAGUAAGAGGUAAGGUUGGUCAGUGGCUUCUAAACUCAAACAUCUGCCUAUUCUGUGACCUAACAGUGGCAAUACUCUUGAUGAAUAAUUGAAUGGUUUCUAGUUUGUGUUUUUAAAAAAUUCCAUCUAGAUUGCUUAAGUAAAUUAUGGUAUAUUCAUAAAAUGGAAUAAAACGCAGCACUGAAAAUAAAUAA